rnacentral:rRNA from 1 species
CAGCCGCCGCGGUAACACGUAGGGUGCAAGCGUUGUCCGGGAUUAUUGGGCGUAAAGAGCUCGUAGGCGGUUUGUCGCGUCUGCUGUGAAAACGCGAGGCUCAACCUCGCGCCUGCAGUGGGUACGGGCAGACUAGAGUGCGGUAGGGGAGAUUGGAAUUCCUGGUGUAGCGGUGGAAUGCGCAGAUAUCAGGAGGAACACCGAUGGCGAAGGCAGAUCUCUGGGCCGUAACUGACGCUGAGGAGCGAAAGCGUGGGGAGCGAACAGGAUUAGAUACCCCAGUAGUCCCUGUCUCUUAUAC